AGUGGUAUGGAAGAGGAGAGCACAUGUAAAGUUCGUUUACGUCGGUUCUUUAUCUUGGAAAACAAAAGGAUCGGUAAGUUCAUCAUUACAGAUAAUUAUGGAAACUGUUAGUGAUUCAUGUUUUCGAAUUUUGAUGAAAGAAAAACGUUUGGGAAAACUGGAUGAGCUUGGUGUGGUCCAUGAAGCGGAUCUUGCACUAGUUACGGAAGGAUGACAUUCUAAAGGCCAUAGAUGUGCACACAUGUAGUACACAUUUUAUAAAAGCAACAUGUGAACAAAAAACACUCCAGAAACUUUAUUCCCAUUUCAAGCCUAGGAGAUUUAUCCAGUCCAGAGCGAAACUCAAGUCAAGAAGUGUACCUUGAUCUUCGAUCACAGAAGACAUUUUUUGCCAGCACUUCCAGAGCAAAGGAGUCACUUGGACACAGAAGCAUUUCAGUCUAUGACAGUGGAAACAAUCCUGGUGAUGUCUACUGGAACAAGGUAGCUAAUCAAGUUAAAAAGUGUUUUCAGAAAGGGGAAUGACAACUAC